rnacentral:rRNA from 1 species
GAUGAACGCUGGCGGCGUGCCUAAUACAUGCAAGUCGAGCGAACAGACGAGGAGCUUGCUCCUCUGACGUUAGCGGGGGGCGGGCGGGUAACAGGUGCAUAACUAUCUAUUAUUUCGGGGUGAAUUCCGGAAAACGGGUUCAAAUACUGGAUAAUACUUUCAACGGAUGGAUUCAUGGGUGAAUCAGGGUUUGCGCGCUCUUAUUAGCGGAUUCCGGGCCGCAUUAGCUAGUUGGUAAGGUACCGGCUUACCAAGGCAACGAUGCGUAGCCGACCUGAGAGGGUGAUCGGCCACACUGGAACUGAGACACGGUCCAGACUCCUACGGGAGGCAGCAGUAGGGAAUCUUCCGCAAUGGGCGAAAGCCUGACGGAGCAACGCCGCGUGAGUGAUGAAGGUCUUCGGAUCGUAAAACUCUGUUAUUAGGGAAGAACAAAUGUGUAAGUAACUAUGCACGUCUUGACGGUACCUAAUCAGAAAGCCACGGCUAACUACGUG